rnacentral:miRNA from 1 species
AAUUGUGUUUUGCUUUUU